rnacentral:pre_miRNA from 1 species
UGAACAUUUGGAUCGUCGGUCUACCGAGCAAUUUCGACCACUCGGUGGAAGAUUUUCCCUCUGUCUU